rnacentral:rRNA from 1 species
UACGUAGGGUGCGAGCGUUCAUCGGAAUUACUGGGCGUAAAGCGUGCGCAGGCGGUUUUGUAAGCCAGAUGUGAAAUCCCCGGGCUCAACCUGGGAAUGGCAUUUGGGACUGCAAGGCUGGAGUUUGGCAGAGGAGACUGGAAUUCCUGGUGUAGCAGUGAAAUGCGUAGAUAUCAGGAGGAAUACCGAUGGCGAAGGCAGGUCUCUGGGCUGACACUGACGCUCAUGCACGAAAGCGUGGGGAGCAAACAGG